rnacentral:rRNA from 1 species
GACGAACGCUGGCGGCGUGCUUAACACAUGCAAGUCGAGCGGAGCGGCGAACGGGUGCGUAACGCGUGAGUAACUGCCCCCCUCUCCGGGAUAACAGUUGGACACGGAUGCUAAUACCGGAAAGUGGGGGAUGAUUCGCGUCCUGUCAGCUUGUUGGUGGGGUAGGGGCCUACCAAGGCGAGGACGGGUAGCCGACCUGAGGGGGCGACCGGCCACAUUGGGCUGGGAUACGGCCCAAACUCCUACGGGGGGCAGCAGGGGGGAAUAUUGCACAAUGGGGGAAACCCUGAUGCAGCAACGCGCGUGCGGGAUGACGGCCUUCGGGUUGUAAACCGCUUUCGGCAAUGACGCGGUAGUGGCAGAAGAAGCACCGGCUAACUACGUGCCAGCGGCCGCGUAAUUC